rnacentral:rRNA from 1 species
CGAGAUUCCCCCAGUAGCGGCGAGCGAACGGGGAGCAGCCCAGAGUCUGAAUCAGCUUGUGUGUUAGUGGAACGGUCUGGAAAGUCCGACGGUACAGGGUGAUAGUCCCGUACACCAAAAUGCACAGGUUGUGAACUCGAAGAGUAGGGCGGGACACGUGGUAUCCUGUCUGAAUAUGGGGGGACCAUCCUCCAAGGCUAAAUACUCCUGACUGACCGAUAGUGAACCAGUACCGUGAGGGAAAGGCGAAAAGAACCCCGGCGAGGGGAGUGAAAAAGAACCUGAAACCGUGU